rnacentral:rRNA from 1 species
AUUGAACGCUGGCGGCAUGCCUAACACAUGCAAGUCGAACGCGAAAGAGGGGCAACUCUCGAGUAGAGUGGCGGACGGGUGAGGAAUACGUAGGAAUCUGCCCUAGAGUGGGGGAUAGCCCGGGGAAACCCGGGCUAAUACCGCAUAAUAUCUUCGGAUUAAAGCAGGGGACCGCAAGGCCUUGUGCUUUAGGAUGAGCCUACGUCGGAUUAGCUUGUUGGUAGGGUAAUGGCCUACCAAGGCGACGAUCCGUAACUGGUCUGAGAGGACGAUCAGUCACACUGGAACUGAGACACGGUCCAGACUCCUACGGGAGGCAGCAGUGGGGAAUAUUGGACAAUGGGGGAAACCCUGAUCCAGCAAUGCCGCGUGUGCGAUGAAGGCCUGCGGGUUGUAAAGCACUUUCGGUGGGGAAGAAAUACUCAAAGAUAAUCUCUUUGAGGGCUGACGUUACCCACAGAAGAAGCACCGGCAAACUCUGUGCCAGCCGCCGCGGUAA